rnacentral:rRNA from 1 species
AACGAACGCUGGCGGCAGGCCUAACACAUGCAAGUCGAGCGCCCCGCAAGGGGAGCGGCGGACGGGUGAGUAACGCGUGGGAACGUGCCCUUUGCUACGGGAUAGCCUCGGGAAACUGAGAGUAAUACCGUAUGUGCCCUUCGGGGGAAAGAUUUAUCGGCAAAGGAUCGGCCCGCGUUGGAUUAGGUAGUUGGUGGGGUAAUGGCCUACCAAGCCGACGAUCCAUAGCUGGUUUGAGAGGAUGAUCAGCCACACUGGGACUGAGACACGGCCCAGACUCCUACGGGAGGCAGCAGUGGGGAAUCUUAGACAAUGGGCGCAAGCCUGAUCUAGCCAUGCCGCGUGAGCGAUGAAAGCCUUAGGGUUGUAAAGCUCUUUCAGUGGGGAAGAUAAUGACUGUACCCACAGAAGAAGCCCCGGCUAACUCCGUGCCAGCCGCCGCAGUAA